GCGGGCCGUGAGAGCGGGAGCCCGGAGAUGGGCACUGAGACAAGGGCCCAGGCCCUACGGGGCGCAGCAGUCGCGAAAACUUUGCAAUAAGCGAAAGUGUGACAGGGCUAUCCCGAGUGCCAUCCGCUGAGGAAGGCUUUUACCCAGUCUAGAACGCUGGGGGAAUAAGGAGAGGGCAAGUCUGGUGUCAGCCGCCGCGGUAAUACCAGCUCUCCGAGUGGUGUGGAUGUUUAUUGGGCCUAAAGCACCCGUAGCUGGCUAAGUUAGUCCCUUGUUAAAUCCACCGAAUUAAUCGUUGGAUUGCGGGGGAUACUGCUUGGCUAGGGGACGAGAGAGGCAGACGGUAUUUCCGGGUAGGGUGAAAUCCUAU
rnacentral:rRNA from 1 species